GUAUGGCUUUGGCAGCACAGAUACUAAAAUUGGAAUAAUACAGAGAAGAUUAGCAUGGUUGCUGCACAAGGAUAAUGCACAAAAUUGUGAAGCAUUCCUUAUUUUC